GUGUCAGCCGCGGUAAUACGUAGGUGGCACGCGUUCUCCGGACUUAUUGGGCGUAAAGCGCGCGCAGGUGGUUUCUUAAGUCUGAUGUGACAGCCCACGGCUCACCCGUGGAGGGUCAUUGGACACUGGGAGACUUGAGUGCAGAAGAGGACAGUGGAAUUCCAUGUGUAGCGGUGAAAUGCGUAGAGAUAUGGAGGAACACCAGUGGCGAAGGCGACUUUCUGGUCUGUAACUGACACUGAGGCGCGAAAGCGUGGGGAGCAAACAGGAGUAGAUACCCUGGUAGUCCACGACGUAAACGAUGAGUGCUAAGUGUUAGAGGGUGUCCGCCCUUUAGUGCUGAAGUUAACGCAUUAAGCACUCCGCCUGGGGAGUACGGCCGCAAGGCUGAAACUCAAAGGAAUUGACGGGG
rnacentral:rRNA from 1 species